UUCCAAACUCAUCAUAAAGAUUAUGAUCCAUGAUGUUUCAAAUCUGCCAUGUGAUUUAACCAAUUAUUAACCUAAUAGAACAACUGAAUCAAGUUAUAAUAAAAAAGAUUACCAACUAAACUUGUGCUAAUCAAACUUUUUCUUCUUUAUCUUCCAAUCAAGAUAAAAAGAAAAGCAUGGCCUUUGGUUAUACAGAUAAGAACAGGUACAGCCUCUCCUAUAGCAAAAUUUGCAACUGAUUUUCC
rnacentral:misc_RNA from 1 species